GCGCGGUGAAUAAAUAAAACGCAAACUUUCAUAUUUAUUAACAACAAAUUACCAGGGAGAUACAUAAAAAAAUGAGUUUUAUCGACAGAUCCUAUAAUUCUAGCUGAUUUAUUAAUUAUCGAUUCAGGAAGGCCUUCAUGUUUCAUUAUCAAAUACGCCUACUCUUCUAAUCAUUCCCGCUGCUAUACAAUAGCUUAUUUCCACGGUUAUUUAAAGUGUAACUCAAUGAUUUUAUUUAUCAAAUCUUCGAUAAGGCUCGAUAAUUAUUGCAAUUUAUAAAACCUAUAAAAUGACAAACAAUGGUCUUUACACGCUGCAGUACGCUAUAGUUCGUUUGCGAAGUAAGACCAUUCUUCGUGUUUUUCAGCGUGAAGAUGGCGACUACAGGGUUUGAUCCUCCUUGAUAAUUAAACUAAUUCUGUAUGCAAAGAAGAUAAUACAGUGGCAAAGGGGCGGCUCCACUGAAACAAGCCGCGCGACGACUGCUUUUGGGCCGUCAAUACCACGUAGAACAAAAUGUGGAAUGCAAGGAUUCAAGUGGAUUAAACCUCAGUUGCAAGCUGUAUAGAAGGGAAUCAAUCUAGAUACCGCACGCUGCAGAAGAGCAAUGAAGAUACCUAAUUUAUAAACAAAUUGCACAAAAGCAUUCAGGAUACAUAUACUAGACAUUCGUAUAUUGACAGAACUACAGAAGAUAAAAGCAGUCAUGGACAAAUUAAAAACGCGCCGAGUGGAGUAAAAAUAUGCUCAAAUGUACGUUGAUGGAAAAAUAUACACAUCGCCCAAAAUUUAAGUUCGCUAUACCAGUAUAAUAUAUAUAAAAAAUAUAUGGACACCUUUGGUAUAAGAUUUGUCAAAAUGCGCAAACCCCGCAUUUACCUACAUUUUUGUAUCGCAAUCACUAUUCUAGAUAACAUAAGAAUAGAUUAAAUUAUUACUAGUGUUUUGUUGACAUUCGUGGUUUUUGUUAAAUAAGCGAAUCGCACUGACCAAACCAAAUCUGAAACUUCGUAAAUCCGGUUACCUAGAUAACUAGCCAAGAAGACCAAAACCUUCCUUUGCAUGGGAGGCACUUGACUAAAAAUCUUCUUUCAUUUUUUUACCUAGGAUAGAUGGAUAGAUAGAUUCUUCUGACAUCGUUUCUCGGGACACAGACCAGAAAAAAAUGUGAAGCUUAGCCAGAAGCAAAUGAUGAAAAUACUGUAGAUCACAUGGUGGAAGAGAUAAAUAAACUGAGAGUUUCCCAUUUCGACCCGAAACUGAUUUUUGAAAAAUUGGAUAGUACCUAAUAUAUUUCCGCCUUGUCAACGGCCCUAUAUUAUUUUAGAUUCAGUUACAUUUCCAGGAGUGCCAUGUUUCGAAUUGUGUAAAAUAAAGAAGCGCACCUUUAAUGCAAAACUUAAAUAAAUAUGCUUUUUCUAUCAUUAUUGGAAAUACGAGUAUAAUAACGAAAAUUUAUGGGUCCCGUUCCAUUUCAUUUUGAAAAUGCCGCAAAUCCACGCUGCGGCUUCGAAACAUAAAUAAUUUGUUUCCGGUUACAUGAAUUAAUGAACUAUUACACCUAAAUAAAAACGUCUAUUAAUCACAUUUUA